rnacentral:rRNA from 1 species
UUAUUGAAUGGCCGCAGUAUUUUAACUGUGCAAAGGUAGCAUAAUCAUUAGUCUUUUAAUUGAAGGCUUGUAUGAAUGGUUGGACGAAAUAUUUACUGUUUCAUUUUAAAUUUUUAUAGAAUUUUAUUUUUUAAUUAAAAAGUUAAAAUAAUUUUAAAAGACGAGAAGACCCUAUAGAUCUUUAUAAUUUUAUUUAUAAUAAUUAUAAAAAAUAUUAAAAUUAUUAUAAAUAGGUUUAUUUUAUUGGGGUGAUAUUAAAAUUUAAUUAACUUAUAAUUAUUAUUUUACAUUUAUUUAUGAAUAUAAAUGAUCCAUAGUUUAUGAUUAAAAAUUUAAGUUACCUUAGGGAUAACAGCGUAAUUUUUUUAGAGAGUUCUUAUCGAUAAAAAAGAUUGCGACCUCGAUGUUGAAUUAAGAAAAUUUUUAGGUGUAGAAAUUUAAAUUUUAAGUCUGUUCGACUUUUAA